GACGAACGCUGGCGGCGUGCUUAACACAUGCAAGUCGAACGGGAAGGCCCUGCUUUUGUGGGGUGCUCGAGUGGCGAACGGGUGAGUAACACGUGAGUAACCUGCCCUUGACUUUGGGAUAACUUCAGGAAACUGGGGCUAAUACAGGCUAGGAGCUCCUGCCACUUGGUGGGGGUUGGUAGGUUUCGGCGGUUGGGGUUGGACUCGCGGCUUAUCAGCUGGUUGGUGGGGUAGUGGCUUACCAAGGCUUUGACGGGUAGCCGACCUGAGAGGGUGACCGGCCACAUUGGUACUGAGAGACGGCCCAGACUCCUACGGGAGGCAGCAGUGGGGAAUAUUGCACAAUGGGCGGAAGCCUGAUGCAGCAACGCCGCGUGCGUGAUGACGGCCUUCGGGUUGUAAACCGCUUUCGCCUGUGACGAAGCGUGAGUGACGGUAAUGGGUAAAGAAGCACCGGCUAACUACGUG
rnacentral:rRNA from 1 species